GAUGAACGUUGGCGGCGUGCCUAAUACAUGCAAGUCGAACGAAGACUGUAGUAAUACUGUCUUAGUGGCGAACGGGUGAGUAACGCGUGGGUGACCUGCCCCGAAGUGUGGGAUAACAGUUCGAAAGAACUGCUAAUACCGCAUAACAUCCAAGAGAUUAGAAGCUUUUGGAUUAAAGGAGUAAUUCGCUUCGGGAGGGGCCCGCGUCCCAUCAGCUAGUUGGUAAGGUAAUGGCUUACCAAGGCGAUGACGGGUAGGGGACCUGAGAGGGUGGCCCCCACAAUGGAACUGAAACACGGUCCAUACACCUACGGGUGGCAGCAGUAGGGAAUAUUAGUAAUGGGCGAAAGCCUGAACUAGCAACGCCGCGUGUGCGAAGAAGGCCUUCGGGUUGUAAAGCACUUUUUGAGAGGAUGAGGAAGGACGGGUACUCUCAGAAUAAGUCUCGGCUAACUACGUG
rnacentral:rRNA from 1 species